AAAUUGAAGAGUUUGAUCAUGGCUCAGAUUGAACGCUGGCGGCAGGCCUAACACAUGCAAGUCGAGCGGUAGCACAGAGAGCUUGCUCUCGGGUGACGAGCGGCGGACGGGUGAGUAAUGUCUGGGAAACUGCCUGAUGGAGGGGGAUAACUACUGGAAACGGUAGCUAAUACCGCAUAAUGUCGCAAGACCAAAGUGGGGGACCUUCGGGCCUCAUGCCAUCAGAUGUGCCCAGAUGGGAUUAGCUAGUAGGUGGGGUAACGGCUCACCUAGGCGACGAUCCCUAGCUGGUCUGAGAGGAUGACCAGCCACACUGGAACUGAGACACGGUCCAGACUCCUACGGGAGGCAGCAGUGGGGAAUAUUGCACAAUGGGCGCAAGCCUGAUGCAGCCAUGCCGCGUGUGUGAAGAAGGCCUUCGGGUUGUAAAGCACUUUCAGCGGGGAGGAAGGCGAUAAGGUUAAUAACCUUGUCGAUUGACGUUACCCGCAGAAGAAGCACCGGCUAACUCCGUGCCAGCAGCCGCGGUAAUACGGAGGGUGCAAGCGUUAAUCGGAAUUACUGGGCGUAAAGCGCACGCAGGCGGUCUGUCAAGUCGGAUGUGAAAUCCCCGGGCUCAACCUGGGAACUGCAUUCGAAACUGGCAGGCUAGAGUCUUGUAGAGGGGGGUAGAAUUCCAGGUGUAGCGGUGAAAUGCGUAGAGAUCUGGAGGAAUACCGGUGGCGAAGGCGGCCCCCUGGACAAAGACUGACGCUCAGGUGCGAAAGCGUGGGGAGCAAACAGGAUUAGAUACCCUGGUAGUCCACGCCGUAAACGAUGUCGAUUUGGAGGUUGUGCCCUUGAGGCGUGGCUUCCGGAGCUAACGCGUUAAAUCGACCGCCUGGGGAGUACGGCCGCAAGGUUAAAACUCAAAUGAAUUGACGGGGGCCCGCACAAGCGGUGGAGCAUGUGGUUUAAUUCGAUGCAACGCGAAGAACCUUACCUGGUCUUGACAUCCACAGAACUU
rnacentral:rRNA from 2 species